rnacentral:rRNA from 1 species
AUUGAACGCUGGCGGCAUGCUUUACACAUGCAAGUCGAACGGUAACAGGCCUUCGGGUGCUGACGAGUGGCGAACGGGUGAGUAAUGCAUCGGAACGUACCCAGAGGUGGGGGAUAACGCAGCGAAAGCUGUGCUAAUACCGCAUGUGAUCUGAGGAUGAAAGCGGGGGACCGAGCAGCAAUGUUUGGCCUCGCGCCUUUGGAGCGGCCGAUGUCGGAUUAGCUAGUUGGUGGGGUAAAGGCCUACCAAGGCGACGAUCCGUAGCUGGUCUGAGAGGACGACCAGCCACACUGGGACUGGGGCACGGCCCAGACUCCUACGGGAGGCAGCAGUGGGGAAUGGUGGACAAUGGGCGCAAGCAUGAUCCAGCAAUGCCGCGUGCGGGAAGAAGGCCUUCGGGUUGUAAACCGCUUUUGGCAGGAACGAAACGGUGUCCGCUAAUACCGGGCGCUAAUGACGGUACCUGCAGAAUAAGCACCGGCUAACUACGUG